UACGAAGGGGGCUAGCGUUGCUCGGAAUCACUGGGCGUAAAGCGCACGUAAGCGGACUUUUAAGUCGGAGGUGAAAUCCUGGAGCUCAACUCCAGAACUGCCUUCGAUACUGAGAGUCUUCGAGUUCGGGAGAGGUGAGUGGAACUGCGAGUGUAGAGGUGAAAUUCGUAGAUAUUCGCAAGAACACCAGUGGCGAAGGCGGCUCACUGGCCCGAUACUGACGCUGAGGUGCGAAAGCGUGGGGAGCAAACAGG
rnacentral:rRNA from 1 species